GACGAACGCUGGCGGCGUGCUUAACACAUGCCAGUCGAACGGACAGACAGAGAGCUUGCUCUCUUGAAGUUAGUGGCGAACGGGUGAGUAACGCGUAAUCAACCUGCCCUUCAGAGGGGGAUAACAACGGGAAACCGUUGCUAAUACCGCGUACGAUUCAUGAACGGCAUCGUUUAUGAAUGAAAGGUGGCCUCUAUGUAUAAGCUAUCGCUGAAGGAGGGGAUUGCGUCUGAUUAGCUAGUUGGAGGGGUAACGGCCCACCAAGGCAAUGAUCAGUAGCCGGUCGGAGAGGAUGAACGGCCACAUUGGGACUGAGACACGGCCCAAACUCCUACGGGAGGCAGCAGUGGGGAAUCUUCCGCAAUGGACGAAAGUCUGACGGAGCAACGCCGCGUGAGUGAUGAAGGUCUUCGGAUUGUAAAGCUCUGUUAAUCGGGACGAAAGAGUUCUGCGUGAAUAAUGCAGAAAAGUGACGGUACCGGAAUAGAAAGCCACGGCUAACUACGUGCCAGCCGCCGCGGUAA
rnacentral:rRNA from 1 species